rnacentral:rRNA from 1 species
GGCGAGGGGAGUGAAAAAGAACCUGAAACCGUGUACGUACAAGCAGUGGGAGCACAGGUUUACCUGUGUGACUGCGUACCUUUUGUAUAAUGGGUCAGCGACUUAUAUUCUGUAGCAAGGUUAACCGCAUAGGGGAGCCGCAGGGAAACCGAGUCUUAACCGGGCGUUAAGUUGCAGGGUAUAGACCCGAAACCCGGUGAUCUAGCCAUGGGCAGGUUGAAGGUUGGGUAACACUAACUGGAGGACCGAACCGAC